rnacentral:rRNA from 1 species
UACGUAGGUGACAAGCGUUGUCCGGAUUUACUGGGCGUAAAGCGCGCGCAGGCGGCACUUCAAGUAAGGUGUGAAAUCUCCCUGCUCAACGGGGAGGGUGCACUUUAGACUGGGGAGCUAGAGGACGGUAGAGGGGGGUGGAAUUGCUGGUGUAGCGGUGAAAUGCGUAGAGAUAGCAGGAACACCCGUGGCGAAGGCGGCCCCCUGGGCCGUACCUGACGCUGAGGCGCGAAGGCUAGGGGAGCGAACGGG